CUACAUGAAGCUGGAAUCGCUAGUAAUCGCGGAUCAGAAUGCCGCGGUGAAUACGUUCCCGGGUCUUGUACACACCGCCCGUCACACCAUGGGAGUCGGGAAUGCCCGAAGUCAGUGACCCAACCGAAAGGGGGGAGCUGCCGAAGGCAGGCCUGGUAACUGGGGUGAAGUCGUAACAAGGUACC
rnacentral:rRNA from 1 species